GGUGAACGCUAGCUACAGGCUUAACACAUGCAAGUCGAGGGGUAACGAGAGGAAGGCUUGCUUUCCUUGUCGACGACCGGCGCACGGGUGAGUAGCGCGUAUCCAACCUGCCCCCAACUAGGGAAUAACCUUGCGAAAGUAAGACUAAUACCCUAUAAUUUCCUCAGAUGACAUCUGACGAGGAAUAAAGAUUUAUCGGUUGUGAUGGGGAUGCGUCUGAUUAGCUUGUUGGCGGGGUAACGGCCCACCAAGGCAACGAUCAGUAGGGGUUCUGAGAGGAAGGUCCCCCACAUGGAAGCUGAGACACGGUCCAAACUCCUACGGGAGGCAGCAGUGAGGAAUAUUGGUCAAUGGGCGGAAGCCUGAACCAGCCAAGUAGCGUGCAGGAUGACGGCCCUAUGGGUUGUAAACUGCUUUUAUACAGGAAUAAAGUUAGCCACGUGUGGUUAUUUGUAGGUACUGUAUGAGUAAGGACCGGCUAAUUCCGUGCCAGCAGCCGCCGCAG
rnacentral:rRNA from 1 species